UACGAAGGGGGCUAGCGUUGUUCGGAAUCACUGGGCGUAAAGCGCACGUAGGCGGAUUGUUAAGUCGGGGGUGAAAUCCUGAGGCUCAACCUCAGAACUGCCUCCGAUACUGGCAAUCUCGAGUUCGGAAGAGGUUGGUGGAACAGCUAGUGUAGAGGUGAAAUUCGUAGAUAUUAGCUAGAACACCAGUGGCGAAGGCGGCUCACUGGCCCGAUACUGACGCUGAGGCACGGAAAGCGUGGGGAGCAAACAGG
rnacentral:rRNA from 1 species